GUUCUUUGAUGAUUUUGUGAAAUCAUAUUAUUUUGUUAGUUAAUUAGCAUGCCAAUUUUUCUAAAAUUGAUUUAAAAACUAUUAUAUUUUAGAAUAUAUUUUUAUGAAUAUUUAUAGUUAUAUAUUAUUUAUAAAAUGAUGCUGAAAAUUUUAUUAAUUUUUAGUAAAAUGAAAAUAAUAGUAAUAGUCAUGACUGUAGUAGCUAAU
rnacentral:misc_RNA from 1 species